UCAAACUCCCGUGCUGAUCAGUAGUGGGAUGGCGCCUGUGAAUAGCCACUGCACUCCAGCCUGGGCAACAUAGUGAGACC
rnacentral:miRNA from 13 species